UACGUAGGGUCCGAGCGUUGUCCGGAUUUAUUGGGCGUAAAGAGCUCGUAGGCGGUUCGAUAAGUCGGACGUGAAAUCUCCACGCUCAACGUGGAGGGGCCGUUCGAUACUGUCGUGACUCGAGUCCGGUAGGGGAGUGUGGAAUUCCCGGUGUAGCGGUGAAAUGCGCAGAGAUCGGGAGGAACACCCGUAGCGAAGGCGGCACUCUGGGCCGGUACUGACGCUGAGGAGCGAAAGCGUGGGGAGCAAACAGG
rnacentral:rRNA from 1 species